GUGAAUUUUAAAAUGAUUUGAAACGCUAUGUGUUUCUAAUCCUUUUUUUAUAUUCCUAACAUGUUCCUCAACCCUUAUGUGUACAUAUACAAUUUUUACAAUUAUCCAUAAAAAUACAUUUUAAUAACAUAGAAACCCCACAAAAGUCAUAUCCCGGAAUAGCUUUGGUCCGAGCACGCAAAUGUCGAAAUAGCACUCAGAUCCCUUUGGUGGUUUAGAAAUGCUAUUCAAAUGAAGUUUUGACCUGUUGGCCACAAGGAGAUGCCCCAAAAC